CCAGACUCCUACGGGAGGCAGCAGUGGGGAAUAUUGCACAAUGGGGGAAACCCUGAUGCAGCGACGCCGCGUGAGCGAUGAAGUAUUUCGGUAUGUAAAGCUCUAUCAGCAGGGAAGAAAAUGACGGUACCUGACUAAGAAGCCCCGGCUAACUACGUGCCAGCAGCCGCGGUAAUACGUAGGGGGCAAGCGUUAUCCGGAUUUACUGGGUGUAAAGGGAGCGUAGACGGCGAUGCAAGUCUGAAGUGAAAGGCGGGGGCCCAACCCCCGGACUGCUUUGGAAACUGUAUGGCUGGAGUGCAGGAGAGGUAAGUGGAAUUCCUAGUGUAGCGGUGGAAUGCGUAGAUAUAAGGAAGAACACCAGUGGCGAAGGCGGAUGACUGGACGGCAACUGGCGGUGAGGCGCGAAAGCGUGGGGAGCAAACAGGAUUAGAUACCCGAGUA
rnacentral:rRNA from 1 species